UUUACGGAGAGUUUGAUCCUGGCUCAGGAUGAACGCUGGCGGCGUGCUUAACACAUGCAAGUCGAACGGUGAAGCCAAGCUUGCUUGGUGGAUCAGUGGCGAACGGGUGAGUAACACGUGAGCAACCUGCCCUGGACUCUGGGAUAAGCGCUGGAAACGGCGUCUAAUACUGGAUAUGAGCUCUCAUCGCAUGGUGGGGGUUGGAAAGAUUUUUCGGUCUGGGAUGGGCUCGCGGCCUAUCAGCUUGUUGGUGAGGUAAUGGCUCACCAAKGCGUCGACGGGUAGCCGGCCUGAGAGGGUGACCGGCCACACUGCGACUGCGACACGGCCCAGACUCCUACGGGAGGCAGCAGUGGGGAAUAUUGCACAAUGGGCGGAAGCCUGAUGCAGCAACGCCGCGUGAGGGAUGACGGCCUUCGGGUUGUAARCCUCUUUUAGCAGGGAAGAAGCGAGAGUGACGGUACCUGCAGAAAAAGCGCCGGCUAACUACGUGCCAGCAGCCGCGGUAAUACGUAGGGCGCAAGCGUUAUCCGGAAUUAUUGGGCGUAAAGAGCUCGUAGGCGGUUUGUCGCGUCUGCUGUG
rnacentral:rRNA from 1 species